UACGAAGGGUGCAAGCGUUACUCGGAAUUACUGGGCGUAAAGCGUGCGUAGGUGGUGAGUUAAGUCUGUCGUGAAAGCCCCGGGCUCAACCUGGGAAUGGCGAUGGAUACUGGCUCGCUAGAGUGCGGUAGAGGAGAGUGGAAUUCCCGGUGUAGCGGUGAAAUGCGUAGAUAUCUGGAGGAACACCGGUGGCGAAGGCGGCGUUCUGGACUGCAACUGACACUGAGGAACGAAAGCCAGGGGAGCAAACGGG
rnacentral:rRNA from 1 species